CACCAGUUCCUACACCCAGCCAUCUCUAGGGUGGAGGGCUCAGGCGGCCAUGGCAGCUCAAGAGUUUUCUUCCUAAGGAAGCUGCAGAUGAAUGGGCAGCGAGGAACCUGGACUGAGACUGCUUCAGCAGCUGGCUUCGUUCUAGGUCUCCCAUGCUCACAGAGCUAAGAGCCCUGGGGAGGAUGCAAGCCUCCGGUCUUGUAAACUGAGACCCUGGCCUCAGGCAGACUUCUUCCUGAUUCUCGGAGCAAUGUCCAACUUCGGUCUCACUCCAACCCAGCGUAAACAUCACAACCUGUCACCUCCCUUGAUUUCCCUCCCUGGCAAACUUCAUCCAGUAGCGGUGUGGUGUGGGUUGCAAACCUCAGUGCUGCAGAGGUCUUAAAAGAUGGCUCUGCGGAUCUGGAAACUGAGGCCCAUGGAGGGAAAGAAAUCCCUUCAGGGCCGUUUGCCAGCGGAUGGUAAUUAGCAACAAAAGCUAAUAAAUACUCAGAUUCAAAUUAG
rnacentral:lncRNA from 1 species